GGAGUGAUAGCUCAGUGGUAGAGCGAGGGACUGCAGUGUGCCAUCUCUAGGUCGGGGGUUCGACUCCCUCUCGCUCCU